rnacentral:lncRNA from 1 species
UCAUGUACAUUUUUGUAUUUUUGCAUGAGAAACCAAUGCAAAAUCCCUCUCCACGCUCUCUUUUCUCCACACCUAAAAGGGAUUGGAUGGGACAAGUCCCAUUUGAAUUUGAAUCCUUAUUUGACUAGGAUUGGAUCUUGUCUAAAUUAGGUAGGACCUAAUCUCUCUUUGAUGCCAAGAUUAAAAGGGGCUAUUUUUGGGCAUGUGAG